rnacentral:Y_RNA from 1 species
GACCAGUUAGUGGAGUGGUCAUUAAGUCUACAAGCUGUAGGAAUAGAAAAGAGAGAAACAAGAUGAGAAGAGUCUCCACUCCCACUGCUUCACUUGACCGGUCCAAA